rnacentral:rRNA from 1 species
UACGUAGGGUGCAAGCGUUGUCCGGAAUUAUUGGGCGUAAAGAGCUCGUAGGCGGUUCGUCGCGUCGGCUGUGAAAACCCGGAGCUCAACUCCGGGCCUGCAGUCGAUACGGGCGGACUUGAGUGUUGCAGGGGAGACUGGAAUUCCUGGUGUAGCGGUGAAAUGCGCAGAUAUCAGGAGGAACACCGGUGGCGAAGGCGGGUCUCUGGGCCUUACCUGACGCUGAGGAGCGAAAGCAUGGGGAGCAAACAGG